CUCCAUACAAUAAGCGGAGGAAAAGAAACUAACAAGGAUUCCCCUAGUAACUGCGAGUGAAGCGGGAAAAGCUCAAAUUUAAAAUCUGGCGGUCUAUGGCUGUCCGAGUUGUAAUCUAGAGAAGUGAUGCCCGCGCUGGACCGUGUACAAGUCUCCUGGAAUGGAGCGUCAUAGAGGGUGAGAAUCCCGUCUCUGACACGGACUACCAGGGCUUUGUGGUAUGCUCUCAAAGAGUCGAGUUGUUUGGGAAUGCAGCUCUAAAUGGGUGGUAAAUUCCAUCUAAAGCUAAAUAUUGGCGAGAGACCGAUAGCGAACAAGUACCGUGAGGGAAAGAUGAAAAGAACUUUGGAAAGAGAGUUAAACAGUACGUGAAAUUGCUGAAAGGGAAACGCUUGAAGUCAGUCGCGUUAGCUAGGACUCAGCCUCGCUCUUGCGUGGUGUACUUUCUGGUUGACGGGUCAGCAUCAAUUUUGGCUGCUGGAAAAAGGUCUUGGGAAUGUGGCAGCUUCGGCUGUGUUAUAGCCCUUGGUCACAUACAGCGGUUGGGAUUGAGGAACUCAGCACGCCGCAAGGCCGGGUUUCGACCACGUUCGUGCUUAGGAUGCUGGCAUAAUGGCUUUAAGCGACCCGUCUUGAAACACGGACCAAGGAGUCUAACAUGCCUGCGAGUGUUUGGGUGGUAAACCCGAGCGCGUAAUGAAAGUGAAAGUUGAGAUCCCUGUCGUGGGGAGCAUCGACGCCCGGACUUGAACUUUUGUGACGGAUCCGCGGUAGAGCAUGUAUGUUGGGACCCGAAAGAUGGUGAACUAUGCCUGAAUAGGGUGAAGCCAGAGGAAACUCUGGUGGAGGCUCGUAGCGAUUCUGACGUGCAAAUCGAUCGUCAAAUUUGGGUAUAGGGGCGAAAGACUAAUCGAACCAUCUAGUAGCUGGUCUGUCGUUGCUCUCUUUUCUCGUUUCCCGCGGGGGACGGGGGCCCACCGUCUCUCCAUCUCGCACUCCUCAGCGGCACGCUACU
rnacentral:rRNA from 1 species